AGUCCAACACCAGAUCCUUUGCAAGCCACGUAUUUAUUCUCCUCCACCUCCUGCUUGAUCAGCUCUUCCACCUCCUACUUGAUCACCUCAAAUAUAAUCCCAAAGUCUCCGCCACAUAUACCAAAAACUUUUUUUAUCACAUAGAAAGGAGAGUUAAGAGGAGAGAGUGCAGUGAGUAAUCUCAGGUUGAGCAGUGACGGUGGAGAAUGCUGAGCAGAGUUUAUGAUUCUCUUUUAUUUUAAAUAGAGGCUCUCGGAGGUGCAUGUCUCCAUACAUGUGACCGAGUUCAUUCCGCUGCACACUAAGGUUCUAGAUAGCAAUCGACUAUUCUUCCAUACUCUGAAAAAUAUCUAUUGAUGAAUAAGGUUUUACAUUUUGAAAAGUAAGAUUUUCAUUCAAAUUUUAGCGAUUAAGAAUUAAUUUGAAGUUGUUUCCCUUUAUUUUUGAGUGAAUAUUCAGUCAUUAUUAUCCCCUUUCUAUUCCCCUCCUCUUAAUCCCCACCCCUAGUCACGGUUUCCCAGCUUUGCUAUCCUUAGCAAAGUGCGGUCGUGACAGUGUUAGUAACUCUUUUAGGUUUAUACAAAUUCCGUUUUCUAUUUAA